rnacentral:lncRNA from 1 species
GAACUGUGUACUCAUGUUGUCAGACUAAAGGAUAGCAACUGGUUUGGCAUUGACUAAUCUUGCCACCUUGGUGUUUUUUGGGUAGGUCCAAUGGUUGUGUGGCACAAGUCUUUGGCCAUGGCUUCCACUGGGGUGGUUGUGCCACCACACUCUGACUUUUCCCUGGGUACAGGGGAGAAUCUGCCUUACGCCUCUAUUGCUGCUGUGGAUCUGCCUCCAGCACAGCCAGAGAGCCGCCAAAGAAGCUACCACCACACAGCGAAACCCCAGGCUGACCGCUCAGGGCACACUGCAGAAGAGAGGGGGAUAUGUGAUCGUAUGAGUGGAUCAUGACGGGUGGAGUGUUGGAGGAGGUCCCCGAGAAGACAUGAAUUCUGGUUGACCUGUGGGCUGGACUCCAGCAAUCCAAGGCCCCUCGACCCCUUCCCUGUCCUAUGAAUGUACUUUCUCCCCGCUGUUCCCUUAGCAGGAGCCAUUUUCAAGGACGCAGCCUUAAGAGAACAACGUGUUAUUGAGACCAUCUGGAUGCUAUGUGCGACUGAACCCAAUUAAGGCCUCUGUAGAAACUUUAAAGAUUCUGGUGGGCAGGUGCGGAGAUCUACUCGUCUUGCAACUGCCGAAGACAAGCCUCGAAUCGUUUUAUGGAUUUAUUCUCCUUGCUGUCAGCAUAAAAAAAGACAAGCUGGAAAAGGCUACAUUAACUGAAGACCACAAGAUUUUGGACAUGCAGACGACCCAACAUGAGGGAAUCUGGGAUAGAAAUUUCAUGUGUGUGGAACAAUUUCAUUAGUUUCUCAUG